rnacentral:rRNA from 1 species
UGAACGCUGGCGGCGUGCCUAAUACAUGCAAGUCGAGCGAACGGACGAGAAGCUUGCUUCUCUGAUGUUAGCGGCGGACGGGUGAGUAACACGUGGAUAACCUACCUAUAAGACUGGGAUAACUUCGGGAAACCGGAGCUAAUACCGGAUAAUAUUUUGAACCGCAUGGUUCAAAAGUGAAAGACGGUCUUGCUGUCACUUAUAGAUGGGUCCGCGCUGCAUUAGCUAGUUGGUAAGGUAACGGCUUACCAAGGCAACGAUGCAUAGCCGACCUGAGAGGGUGAUCGGCCACACUGGAACUGAGACACGGUCCAGACUCCUACGGGAGGCAGCAGUAGGGAAUCUUCCGCAAUGGGCGAAAGCCUGACGGAGCAACGCCGCGUGAGUGAUGAAGGUCUUCGGAUCGUAAAACUCUGUUAUUAGGGAAGAACAUAUGUGUAAGUAACUGUGCACAUCUUGACGGUACCUAAUCAGAAAGCCACGGCUAACUACGUG